UGAGGAAUAUUGGUCAAUGGGCGAAAGCCUGAACCAGCCAUGCCGCGUGCAGGAAGACGGUCCUAUGGAUUGUAAACUGCUUUUAUUUGGGAAUAAACCUCUGGUCGUGACCGGAGCUGAAGGUACCAAAUGAAUAAGCACCGGCUAACUCCGUGCCAGCAGCCGCGGUAAUACGGAGGGUGCAAGCGUUAUCCGGAAUCAUUGGGUUUAAAGGGUCCGCAGGCGGGCUUAUAAGUCAGUGGUGAAAGCCUACAGCUUAACUGUAGAACUGCCAUUGAUACUGUAAGUCUUGAAUUCGGUCGAAGUGGGCGGAAUGUGUAGUGUAGCGGUGAAAUGCUUAGAUAUUACACAGAACACCGAUAGCGAAGGCAGCUCACUAGGCCUGGAUUGACGCUCAGGG
rnacentral:rRNA from 1 species